CAUAUCCAAUCCACAUUUCUGAGAUGUGGUGGAUUGGUAUAUCUUUAUAUGCCUUCCCUGAUCCAAAUCCAAUCCACAGCUCUGAGA